rnacentral:rRNA from 1 species
UACGGAGGGGGCUAGCGUUGUUCGGAAUUACUGGGCGUAAAGCGCACGUAGGCGGCUUUGUAAGUUAGAGGUGAAAGCCCAGAGCUCAACUCUGGAAUUGCCUUUAAGACUGUAUCGCUUGAACACGGGAGAGGUGAGUGGAAUUCCGAGUGUAGAGGUGAAAAUCGUAGAUAUUCGGAAGAACACCAGUGGCGAAGGCGACUCACUGGACCGUUGUUGACGCUGAGGAGCGAAAGCGUGGGGAGCGAACAGG